AGACAUUUCACCUCGUUCUACUCCCAACAUUCUGCUGCAUCAAGCUUCUGAUACGAGCUUAUGCAUUGGUGUGGAACCUUAAUACCCUUUAGUUCAGAAGGAGGCUUAAAACUGAGGAGUCUGUCACUCUCAAUUCUUUUACUAUUACUACUUCAUUUGGCAUUACUUUAUGGAAUAUUUUGCUAGUUUCUUAUUUACUUGGGACUUUCAUCCAUUUUCGUGAAGCCAGAGGGGUCUAUGUUCUCGUCAAAGCCAUUGCAAUUUAUGUUUUAGAUGGACAGAAAGCAACACCAUUAUUACAUGAGUCGAUUGCUCAGAGUUGUGUUGUAUUGUAGUUUUUAGGAAGUUAGUAAAGAUAAAUUUGUAUGUCGAGAUGGUGAUGAUAAACUUCUUUUUUUGAGUUGUAACAUGCUCCGAGAAUGAAGGAUGGAGGUUCACUGUGAAAAGCAAAUGUACUCUGUAAUGAACUCAGUGUUCAGUUGUGUAUAUUGUCUAAUUUUUUCCCAGUAUAUUUUCUGAUUCUUAGCUCGUUGGUAGCAUGGUACUGUCUUUCUGGUUAUGUUGUGAUUAUUCUAUUGUCGCAUUUCAUCUUCUUGACCGAGGGUCCAUCGGAAACAGCCUCUCUACCCCAGGUAGGGGUAAGGUCUAGUUGUUGUGGAUUUUGCUAAAUUAUCGAAAUUGCUGCAUGUACAGGAAGUAAAUAUAAUUUGUAUCUAGAUAUAGAAUGCAUCUCUUUGAUAUUUU